rnacentral:rRNA from 1 species
UACGUAGGGCGCAAGCGUUUAUCCGGAAUUAUUGGGCGUAAAGAGCUCGUAGGCGGUUUGUCGCGUCUGCCGUGAAAGUCCGGGGGCUCAACUCCGGAUCUGCGGUGGGUACGGGCAGACUAGAGUGAUGUAGGGGAGACUGGAAUUCCUGGUGUAGCGGUGAAAUGCGUAGAGAUCCGGAAGAACACCGGUGGCGAAGGCGGCUCGCUGGGCAGUGGCUGACGCUGAGGCGCGACAGCGUGGGGAGCAAACAGG